rnacentral:sRNA from 1 species
CCAGUGCUACAACCGCGCAGAACAGGUUUUUAAACCAAUGAAGGUACCUGUAUGGCGAGUCUGAGUUAAUUA